rnacentral:rRNA from 1 species
UACGUAGGGUGCGAACGUUGCUCGGAAUUAUUGGGCGUAAAGCGCACGUAGGCGGCUUUGCAAGUCGGGUGUGAAAUCCCUCGGCUCAACCAAGGAAGUGCAUCCGAAACUGCAGAGCUUGAGUACCAAAGAGGAUCGCGGAAUUCCCGGUGUAGAGGUGAAAUUCGUAGAUAUCGGGAGGAACACCAGUGGCGAAGGCGGCGAUCUGGGUGGAUACUGACGCUGAGGUGCGAAAGCGUGGGGAGCAAACAGG